GGUGCUUUAGGGCCAUGCUGCACGGAACACAGCUUCUGUAUUUGAGAAGCACUCAGACUUCGCCUUUCUUAGGAGCCAGCCCAAAGCUUGUAUGUUACACCUGUGAUCCUCACACAGCUCUUUGCAGCAGACAGAUGGGAGACAUGACGUACACGGGGAUUUCCACUGGAAGCAGGUCCAAAGGAAGAAAUCCUACAUUCCCAGAAUACAUUCCUCUCUCUUGCCCUGCAGUCAAAGCUUCCCAAACUCGUACAUCUUGUGGCUGAGCCUCAUGAAGAAAA